rnacentral:rRNA from 1 species
UACGUAGGGUGGCAAGCGUUGUCCGGAUUUAUUGGGUUUAAAGGGUGCGUAGGCGGUCUUAUAAGUCAGUGGUGAAAUACGGCAGCUCAACUGUCGAGGUGCCAUUGAUACUGUAGGACUUGAGUACAGACGAGGUAGGCGGAAUUGACGGUGUAGCGGUGAAAUGCUUAGAUAUCGUCAAGAACACCGAUAGCGAAGGCAGCUUACUAGGCUGUAACUGACGCUGAGGCACGAAAAGUGUGGGGAUCAAACAGG